CCCGACUUAAUGGGGAACAGUUGGAAACGACUGCUAAUACCGAAUGUGCCUUAGGGUGAAAGAUUUAUUGUCUAGAGAUUGGCUCGCGUCAGAUUAGCUAGUUGGAGUGGUAACGGCACACCAAGGCACGAUCUGUACUUGGUCUGAGAGGAUGACCAGGCACACUGGAACUGAGACACGGUCCAGACUCCUACGGGAGGCAGCAGUGGGGAAUUUUCCGCAAUGGGCGAAAGCCUGACGGAGCAAUACCGCGUAGGGAGGACGGCUUUUGGGUUGUAAACCUCUUUUAUCAGGGAAGAAUCGAUGACGGUACCUGAUGAAUCAGCAUCGGCUAACUCCGUGCCAGCAGCCGCGGUAAUACGGAGGAUGCAAGCGUUAUCCGAAUUAUUGGGCGUAAAGCGUCCGUAGGUGGUUUAUCAAGUCUGCUGUCAAAGCGUGCGGCUUAACCGCAUAAGGGCAGUGGAAACUGAUGAACUAGAGUGCGAUAGGGGUAACAGGAAUUCCCAGUUAGCGGUGAAAUGCGUAGAUAUUGGGAAGAACACCAGCGGCGAAAGCGUGUUACUGGGUCUGCACUGACACUGAGGGACGAAAGCUAGGGGAGCGAAAGGGAUUAGAUACCCCUGGUAGUCAGGAAC
rnacentral:rRNA from 1 species